UACGAAGGGGGCUAGCGUUGCUCGGAAUCACUGGGCGUAAAGCGCACGUAGGCGGCUUUCUAAGUCAGGGGUGAAAUCCUGGAGCUCAACUCCAGAACUGCCUUUGAUACUGGCGAUCUUGAGUCCGGGAGAGGUGAGUGGAACUCCGAGUGUAGAGGUGAAAUUCGUAGAUAUUCGGAAGAACACCAGUGGCGAAGGCGGCUCACUGGCCCGGUACUGACGCUGAUGUGCGAAAGCGUGGGGAGCAAACAGG
rnacentral:rRNA from 1 species